rnacentral:rRNA from 1 species
GUAGGGAAUAUUGCACAAUGGGCGAAAGCCUGAUGCAGCAACGCCGCGUGCGCGAAGAAGGCCUUCGGGUUGUAAAGCGCUUUUCUGGGAGAUGAGGAAGGACAGUAUCCCAGGAAUAAGGCUCGGCUAACUACGUGCCAGCAGCCGCGGUAAAACGUAGGAGCCAAGCGUUAUCCGAAUUCACUGGGCGUAAAGCGCGUGCAGGCGGCCUGAUAAGUUGGAUGUGAAAUCUCCUGGCUCAACUGGGAGAGGCCGUUCAAUACUGUUGGGCUAGAGGGCGACAGAGGGAGGUGGAAUUCCGGGUGUAGUGGUGAAAUGCGUAGAUAUCCGGAGGAACACCAGAGGCGAAGGCGACCUCCUGGGUCGCACCUGACGCUCAGACGCGAAAGCUAGGGGAGCGAACGGGAUUAGAAACCCCGGUAGUCC